rnacentral:rRNA from 1 species
AUUGAACGCUGGCGGCAGGCCUAACACAUGCAAGUCGAGCGGAUGAAGGGAGCUUGCUCCUGGAUUCAGCGGCGGACGGGUGAGUAAUGCCUAGGAAUCUGCCUGGUAGUGGGGGAUAACGUCCGGAAACGGGCGCUAAUACCGCAUACGUCCUGAGGGAGAAAGUGGGGGAUCUUCGGACCUCACGCUAUCAGAUGAGCCUAGGUCGGAUUAGCUAGUUGGUGGGGUAAAGGCCUACCAAGGCGACGAUCCGUAGCUGGUCUGAGAGGAUGAUCAGUCACACUGGAACUGAGACACGGUCCAGACUCCUGCGGGAGGCAGCAGUGGGGAAUAUUGGACAAUGGGCGAAAGCCUGAUCCAGCCAUGCCGCGUGUGUGAAGAAGGUCUUCGGAUUGUAAAGCACUUUAAGUUGGGAGGAAGGGCAGUAAGUUAAUACCUUGCUGUUUUGACGUUACCAACAGAAUAAGCACCGGCUAACUUCGUG